CGACGGGGGGUGCUAGCGUUAUUCGGAAUUAUUGGGCGUAAAGGGCGUGUAGGCGGUUUUAUCGGUCAGAUGUGAAAGCCCAGGGCUCAACCCUGGACGUGCAUUUGAAACAGUAAGACUUGAGUACGGUAGAGGAAAGCGGAAUUCCUGGUGUAGAGGUGAAAUUCGUAGAUAUCAGGAGGAACACCGAUGGCGAAGGCAGCUUUCUGGACCGAAACUGACGCUGAUGCGCGAAGGCGUGGGUAGCGAACAGGAUUAGAAACCCCAGUAGUCC
rnacentral:rRNA from 1 species